rnacentral:rRNA from 1 species
UGCUACAGGCUUAACACAUGCAAGUCGAGGGGCAGCAUGGUCUUAGCUUGCUAAGGCCGAUGGCGACCGGCGCACGGGUGAGUAACACGUAUCCAACCUGCCGUCUACUCUUGGACAGCCUUCUGAAAGGAAGAUUAAUACAAGAUGGCAUCAUGAGUCCGCAUGUUCACAUGAUUAAAGGUAUUCCGGUAGACGAUGGGGAUGCGUUCCAUUAGAUAGUAGGCGGGGUAACGGCCCACCUAGUCUUCGAUGGAUAGGGGUUCUGAGAGGAAGGUCCCCCACAUUGGAACUGAGACACGGUCCAAACUCCUACGGGAGGCAGCAGUGAGGAAUAUUGGUCAAUGGGCGAGAGCCUGAACCAGCCAAGUAGCGUGAAGGAUGACUGCCCUAUGGGUUGUAAACUUCUUUUAUAAAGGAAUAAAGUCGGGUAUGCAUACCCGUUUGCAUGUACUUUAUGAAUAAGGAUCGGCUAACUCCGUGCCAGCAGCCGCGGUAAUACGGAGGAUCCGAGCGUUAUCCGGAUUUAUUGGGUUUAAAGGGAGCGUAGAUGGAUGUUUAAGUCAGUUGUGAAAGUUUGCGGCUCAACCGUAAAAUUGCAGUUGAUACUGGAUAUCUUGAGUGCAGUUGAGGCAGGCGGAAUUCGUGGUGUAGCGGUGAAAUGCUUAGAUAUCACGAAGAACUCCGAUUGCGAAGGCAGCCUGCUAAGCUGCAACUGACAUUGAGGCUCGAAAGUGUGGGUAUCAAACAGGAUUAGAUACCCUGGUAGUCCACACGGUAAACGAUGAAUACUCGCUGUUUGCGAUAUACAGCAAGCGGCCAAGCGAAAGCGUUAAGUAUUCCACCUGGGGAGUACGCCGGCAACGGUGAAACUCAAAGGAAUUGACGGGGGCCCGCACAAGCGGAGGAACAUGUGGUUUAAUUCGAUGAUACGCGAGGAACCUUACCCGGGCUUAAAUUGCAGAUGAAUUACGGUGAAAGCCGUAAGCCGCAAGGCAUCUGUGAAGGUGCUGCAUGGUUGUCGUCAGCUCGUGCCGUGAGGUGUCGGCUUAAGUGCCAUAACGAGCGCAACCCUUGUUGUCAGUUACUAACAGGUUCCGCUGAGGACUCUGACAAGACUGCCAUCGUAAGAUGUGAGGAAGGUGGGGAUGACGUCAAAUCAGCACGGCCCUUACGUCCGGGGCUACACACGUGUUACAAUGGGGGGUACAGAGGGCCGCUACCACGCGAGUGGAUGCCAAUCCCAAAAACCUCUCUCAGUUCGGACUGGAGUCUGCAACCCGACUCCACGAAGCUGGAUUCGCUAGUAAUCGCGCAUCAGCCACGGCGCGGUGAAUACGUUCCCGGGCCUUGUACACACCGCCCGUCAAGCCAUGGGAGCCGGGGGUACCUGAAGUGCGUAACCGCGAGGAGCGCCCUAGGGUAAAACUGGUGACUGG